rnacentral:rRNA from 1 species
UACGAAGGGGGCUAGCGUUGCUCGGAAUCACUGGGCGUAAAGCGCACGUAGGCGGCUUUUUAAGUCAGGGGUGAAAUCCUGGAGCUCAACUCCAGAACUGCCUUUGAUACUGAAAAGCUUGAGUCCGGGAGAGGUGAGUGGAACUGCGAGUGUAGAGGUGAAAUUCGUAGAUAUUCGCAAGAACACCAGUGGCGAAGGCGGCGAUCUGGGAAGAUACUGACGCUGAGGUGCGAAAGCUAGGGGAGCAAACGGG